CAGUCGCCGCGGUAAUACGGAGGGUGCAAGCGUUAAUCGGAAUUACUGGGCGUAAAGCGCACGCAGGCGGUUUGUUAAGUCAGAUGUGAAAUCCCCGAGCUCAACCUGGGAAUGGCAGUGGAUACUGGCUCGCUAGAGUGUGUCAGAGGAUGGUGGAAUUCCCGGUGUAGCGGUGAAAUGCGUAGAGAUCGGGAGGAACAUCAGUGGCGAAGGCGGCCAUCUGGGACAACACUGACGCUGAGGCACGAAAGCGUGGGGAGCAAACAGGAUUAGAUACCCGAGUAGUCCCUGUCUCUUAUAC
rnacentral:rRNA from 1 species